rnacentral:misc_RNA from 1 species
GUAUUAAUUGCGUGUGAUCGCAAAAAGAAAAACAUUCUACACUGUAUCAAGUUUUAUGUGAAAACGCAAGCCCUCCUGCAAAGGGGGGCCCACGCGGUGAUGCACAAAAGGGGUGAGAUGGAUUGUGUGAGAGUGCUCGGGCGUGCACAACCUUUAAAAGGUCAGCGACAGCCCUUGCACCUCGGUUAUACAAUAAUGAUCCUUCCGCAGGUUCACCUACGGAAA